rnacentral:rRNA from 1 species
UACGUAGGUGGCAAGCGUUGUCCGGAAUUACUGGGUGUAAAGGGCGUGUAGGCGGGAAGGCAAGUCAGAUGUGAAAGCCCAUGGCUUAACUGUGGAACUGCAUCUGAAACUGUUUUUCCUGAGUACUGGAGAGGAAAGUGGAAUUCCUAGUGUAGCGGUGAAAUGCGUAGAGAUUAGGAGGAACACCAGUGGCGAAGGCGGCUUUCUGGAUAGUAACUGACGCUGAGGCGCGAAAGCGUGGGGAGCAAACAGGAUUAGAUACCCCCGUAGUCCCU